rnacentral:rRNA from 1 species
GACGAACGCUGGCGGCGUGCUUAACACAUGCAAGUCGAGCGGAAAGGCCCUGCUUUUGUGGGGUGCUCGAGUGGCGAACGGGUGAGUAACACGUGAGUAACCUGCCCUUGACUUUGGGAAAACUUCAGGAAACUGGGGCUAAUACCGGAUAGGAGCUCCUGCUGCAUGGUGGGGGUUGGAAAGUUUCGGCGGUUGGGGAUGGACUCGCGGCUUAUCAGCUUGUUGGUGGGGUAGUGGCUUACCAAGGCUUUGACGGGUAGCCGGCCUGAGAGGGUGACCGGCCACAUUGGGACUGAGAUACGGCCCAGACUCCUACGGGAGGCAGCAGUGGGGAAUAUUGCACAAUGGGCGGAAGCCUGAUGCAGCAACGCCGCGUGCGGGAUGACGGCCUUCGGGUUGUAAACCGCUUUCGCCUGUGACGAAGCGUGAGUGACGGUAAUGGGUAAAGAAGCACCGGCUAACUACGUG